rnacentral:rRNA from 1 species
GACGAACGCUGGCGGCGUGCUUAACACAUGCAAGUCGAACGGAAAGGCCUUGCUUUUGUGGGGUGCUCGAGUGGCGAACGUGUGAGUAACACGUUGGUAACCGGACCACGACUUUGGGAUAACUUCAGUAAACUGGGGCUAAUACCGGAUAGGAGCUCAUGCGGCAUGGGGGGGGCUGGAGAGUUUCGGCGGCGGGGGAGGGACGCGAGGCUUCUCAGCUUGUGGGUGGUGUAGUGGCCUACCAAGGCUUUGACGGGUAGUCGGCCGGAGAGGGUGACCGGCAACAAUGCGACUGAGAUAAGGCCGAGACUCCUACGGGAGGCAGCAGUGGGGGAGAUUGCACCAUGGGCGGAAGCAUGAUGAAGCAGCGCCGCGUGGUGGAUGACGGCCUUCUGGGUGUAGUCCGCUUUCUCCUGUGACGAAGAGUGAGUGACGGUAAUUGGUAAAGAAGCACCGGCUAACUACGUG